rnacentral:rRNA from 1 species
UACGAAGGGUGCAAGCGUUACUCGGAAUUACUGGGCGUAAAGCGUGCGUAGGUGGUUUGUUAAGUCUGCUGUGAAAGCCCCGGGCUCAACCUGGGAAUGGCAGUGGAUACUGGCAAGCUAGAGUGCGGUAGAGGGGUGUGGAAUUCCCGGUGUAGCGGUGAAAUGCGUAGAGAUCGGGAGGAACAUCCGUGGCGAAGGCGGCCAUCUGGAUCAACACUGACGCUGAGGCACGAAAGCGUGGGGAGCAAACAGG